rnacentral:tRNA from 1 species
CCCGGAUAGUUAAAUAAACACUUAGGUCGUGACCCUAAAAAAUAGAGGCACCUCUUCCGAGCU